AGAGUUUGAUCCUGGCUCAGAGCGAACGCUGGCGGCAGGCCUAACACAUGCAAGUCGAACGAACUCUUCGGAGUUAGUGGCGGACGGGUGAGUAACACGUGGGAACGUGCCUUUAGGUUCGGAAUAACUCAGGGAAACUUGUGCUAAUACCGAAUGUGCCCUUCGGGGGAAAGAUUUAUCGCCUUUAGAGCGGCCCGCGUCUGAUUAGCUAGUUGGUAAGGUAAUGGCUUACCAAGGCUACGAUCAGUAGCUGGUCUGAGAGGAUGACCAGCCACAUUGGGACUGAGACACGGCCCAAACUCCUACGGGAGGCAGCAGUGGGGAAUCUUGCGCAAUGGGCGAAAGCCUGACGCAGCCAUGCCGCGUGUAUGAUGAAGGUCUUAGGAUUGUAAAAUACUUUCACCGGUGAAGAUAAUGACUGUAGCCGGAGAAGAAGCCCCGGCUAACUUCGUGCCAGCAGCCGCGGUAAUACGAAGGGGGCUAGCGUUGCUCGGAAUUACUGGGCGUAAAGGGAGCGUAGGCGGACAUUUAAGUCAGAGGUGAAAUCCCGGAGCUUAACUUCGGAACUGCCUUUGAUACUGGGUGUCUUGAGUGUGAGAGAGGUAUGUGGAACUCCGAGUGUAGAGGUGAAAUUCGUAGAUAUUCGGAAGAACACCAGUGGCGAAGGCGACAUACUGGCUCAUUACUGACGCUGAGGCUCGAAAGCGUGGGGAGCAAACAGGAUUAGAUACCCUGGUAGUCC
rnacentral:rRNA from 1 species